GGGGAAUAUUGCACAAUGGGCGAAAGCCUGAUGCAGCAACGCCGCGUGAGUGAUGAAGGUCUUCGGAUUGUAAAGCUCUGUCUUUUGGGACGAUAAUGACGGUACCAAAGGAGGAAGCCACGGCUAACUACGUGCCAGCAGCCGCGGUAAUACGUAGGUGGCGAGCGUUGUCCGGAUUUACUGGGCGUAAAGGGUGCGUAGGCGGAUGUUUAAGUGAGAUGUGAAAUACCCGGGCUUAACUUGGGUGCUGCAUUUCAAACUGGAUAUCUAGAGUGCAGGAGAGGAGAAUGGAAUUCCUAGUGUAGCGGUGAAAUGCGUAGAGAUUAGGAAGAACACCAGUGGCGAAGGCGAUUCUCUGGACUGUAACUGACGCUGAGGUACGAAAGCGUGGGUAGCAAACAGGAUUAGAUACCCUGGUAGUCCACGCCGUAAACGAUGAGUACUAGGUGUAGGAGGUAUCGACCCCUUCUGUGCCGCAGUAAACACAUUAAGUACUCCGCCGUGG
rnacentral:rRNA from 1 species